AUUGAACGCUGGCGGCAGGCCUAACACAUGCAAGUCGAGCGAGCGGCGGACGGGUGAGUAAUGUCUGUGAAACUGCCUGAGGGAGGGGGAUAACUACUGGAAACGGUAGCUAAUACCGCAUACCAUCAGAUGUGCCCAGGUGGGAUUAGCUAGUAGGUGGGGUAACGGCCCACCUAGGCGACGAUCCCUAGCUGGUCUGAGAGGAUGACCAGCCACACUGGAACUGCGACACGGUCCAGACUCCUACGGGAGGCAGCAGUGGGGAAUAUUGCCCAAUGGGGGAAAGCCUACUGCAGCAAUGCCGCGUGGAUGAAGAAGGCCUUCGGGUUGUAAAGUACUUUCAGCGGGGAGGCGUUACCCGCAGAAGAAGCACCGGCUAACUCCGUGCCAGCAGCCGCGGUAAUAC
rnacentral:rRNA from 1 species